ACUUGUUAUUUAUUAUGACUAUGACAGACCAACACGGCUACCUACCUGAAUCUGCAACAUAUUGAUUGUUAGUGCUGUUCUUUGUAAUCUUGUAUUCUGCUGUGGUUUUUAAUUAGGACAUUUGUGUUUCAGUGGUUGGAUCACUGUGUAUCAGGUGCAUAAGCCACCUUUGCCUUUUGAGCAUCGAAAGGAGAGAGGAUAAUUUGCAUGGAAAUGCUGAUGGAUUUUCACGAGGACGUUUCCCCACAAGCUGAUGUAGAAAUAUGGAAUGGAUUUUCCCAACAGAGGAGGCAUUAAAAACCCCGAAGCCUUGGAUAAAAGGGAGAACUCUGGGACCUAUAGAGCUUUUCUAUUUUUUAAAUCUAGCUGCCUGUGGUUGAAAACCUGGAAGACAAUGUAGCCUUUUAUAUCAUGCUGUUUCUGGAAUCCUCGUUGAGUGGGCUUUAGACAGGCUCCUACAGUUUGGAAGGACCCCUGCCUCCUUCGCAGUGCGUGCCUCUUCCUCCCUUAAGCAUGCACUCCGGACAAGCAAAAGCUCUUUUAAAAAACAUCUCUCCCCCCCCCAAAUGGACCUUGCUGGUAAUUAUGCUGUGCGGCCCUGCUUCCUCCACCCUUCUGUUUAAAGUGCUUCAUUAAAGUUCUGUACAUGUUUUGUAAAUCUAGUGUACCUCCAAAGCUGACUCGCAGCCAAAAACACCCGCAAGACAUCCUCUCUAUAUACAAAGCGAGACCAACCUGGAAUAAUUUGUUGCUUGUUAUUUCUGAGACAUGUUUACAUCUUCCUCGUGUGUUUUUUUUUCCAUUGCCUGUUUUGGAAGAUGCCUUUAGAAGAUCCCUCACAUAUUUAUGCCUGCAGAAAGUAAAAUAA